rnacentral:rRNA from 1 species
UACGGAGGGUGCAAGCGUUAUCCGGAUUUACUGGGUUUAAAGGGUGCGUAGGCGGACAGGUAAGUCAGUGGUGAAAUCCCCGAGCUCAACUUGGGGACUGCCGUUGAUACUAUCUGUCUUGAAUACCGUGGAGGUGAGCGGAAUAUGUCAUGUAGCGGUGAAAUGCUUAGAUAUGACAUAGAACACCGAUUGCGAAGGCAGCUCACUACGCGGUCAUUGACGCUGAGGCACGAAAGCGUGGGGAGCAAA